GUUUGAUCCUGGCUCAGAUUGAACGCUGGCGGCAGGCCUAACACAUGCAAGUCGAGCGAGAAAGGCCUUCGGGCUGAGUACAGCGGCGGACGGGUGAGUAACGCGUAGGAAUCUACCCGGUAGUGGGGGACAACAUGGUGAAAACCAUGCUAAUACCGCAUACGCCCUAUGGGGGAAAGCGGGGGACCUUCGGGCCUCGCGCUAUCGGAUGAGCCUGCGUAAGAUUAGCUAGUUGGUGGGGUAAAAGCCUACCAAGGCGACGAUCUUUAGCUGGUCUGAGAGGAUGAUCAGCCACACUGGGACUGAGACACGGCCCAGACUCCUACGGGAGGCAGCAGUGGGGAAUAUUGCGCAAUGGGCGAAAGCCUGACGCAGCCAUGCCGCGUGUGUGAAGAAGGCCCUAGGGUUGUAAAGCACUUUCAAUUGGGAGGAAAGGUUGCUGGUUAAUAACCAGUAGCUGUGACGUUACCUUUAGAAGAAGCACCGGCUAACUCCGUGCCAGCAGCCGCGGUAAUAAGGGCGAAU
rnacentral:rRNA from 1 species